AGCAAAAUGAUGAAAAGUGUUUGAUUCUGAAUUUCUAAUGUGGAAGUUCUUUAUAGUGGUCUUCAAAGUUCUCUGAUUGCU
rfam:Morus notabilis contig5372, whole genome shotgun sequence.